rnacentral:rRNA from 1 species
GAUGAACGCUAGCGGCAGGCCUAAUACAUGCAAGUCGGACGGGAUUCCGGAGCUUGCUUCUGCUGAGAGUGGCGCACGGGUGCGUAACACGUAUGUAACCUACCUUUAUCAGGGGGAUAGCCCCUCGGAAGAGAGAUUAAGCCCGCAUAAAAUCACAGCACAGCAUUGUGUAAUGAUCAAAGAUUUAUAUGAUAAAGAUGGGCAUGCGGAACAUUAGCUAGAUUGCGGGGUAACGUCCCACCAUGGCGACGAUAUUCAGGGGAUCUGAGAGGACGGCACCUCACAUUGGUACUGAAACACCGACCAGACUACUACGGGAGGCAGCAGUCAGGAAUAGUGGUCAACGGGCGGAAGCCGGAAACAGCCAUGCAGCGUGCAGGAAGACGGCGCUACGGGAUGUACACUGCUUUUAUAAGGGAAUAGACCCAGAUACGUGUAUCCGGCUGACUGUACUGUAAGAAUAAGGACCGGCUAACUCCGUG